UACGAACUGUGCGAACGUUAUUCGGAAUCACUGGGCUUACAGGGUGCGUAGGCGGCCUGACAAGUAGGGUGUGAAAGCCCCCGGCUUAACCGGGGAAUGGCGCCCUAAACUGUCGGGCUGGAGUGAGAUAGGGGUGUGCGGAACUUCCGGUGGAGCGGUGAAAUGUGUUGAUAUCGGAAGGAACGCCGGUGGCGAAAGCGGCACACUGGAUCUCAACUGACGCUGAGGCACGAAAGCCAGGGGAGCGAACGGG
rnacentral:rRNA from 1 species